rnacentral:lncRNA from 1 species
GAAUCUUGAGAUAAGCUACAAGUCUCUAGAUGAUCAUGACCAGAGGUUGUUCCUCCUUAUUGCUUCGUUUUUUGUUGGGAAGGACAGAGAUUAUGUUAUCAAAAUUUUAGAGAACUGUGAUUUGCACCCAAUGGUUGGAAUUCAGAACCUCAUUGACAGAUCCCUCAUCAGCAUUGAUGACGAAAACAAAGUGAUGAUGCCUCCACUUAUUCAGGAUAUGGGGAAAGAAAUUAUUCGUCGAGAAUCACCAGAUGAUCCCGAGAGAUUGUGUAACUUGUUGAACCAAUGGGGUCUAUCAAAUUACUUGACCGAAAACAAUGUAAGAAUCUUUAACUUUUCUGUUCACAUUAGCUAGCUUGUCUUAGUAGAUUCCGGAAGUGUUCUUGUUUCUCACAGAAUCUUUUGUUGAACAGGAGAGUGAUGCAGAUGGAGGAGACCUCCCAAGUGCACAUCUGCCGGAAGAUGGUCUUGUACCAGCAGUUGGUCCUAAUGUUGCAAAAAGACCAUAUUAUCAAGAUUUUCCAGAAAUAGCCAUUCUGCCAUACCUCGGUCAUUCAUUGAAAAGGCGCUUUGUAGGACUUCUUUCGACGUUCCCAAUAUCUGGUGGCUUCAAAAGAUUCUUCCCAUGACAAUGGCUUCUUUCUUUUGGAAAAACCAACACUGUACUGCUAGAAGAGUCAGGUCUUAAUCAGAAUAACUGUCCCGAUAAUAUCGAUUAAUGCUUUCGACAUACUGUGUUAGUUGCACAAAUUUUUAAGUUGUAGAGGUGCAUUCAGUCCUGUUCUUUUUGAUCAGCUUCGGUUGAGCGAUGUGUGUAAAUUAUGUUUCAUUGUACAGUCAUAAAGUCAUUUCUUGCAUAGUUCACUGGAAGGAACAAAAACUAUAACCUUGCCAUUCAUUCCUUUUUAGUCUCCAAAAAUGUCUAAAGUUUUACCUCUUUCAUAUUUCUAAUCAUUUACUCUCAGAGAGUAUUUUCAUUUUUAUAGGAAAUAAAUACAGGUUCAAACCAUAUCCAACUUUUACAUGAGUUAUUUCACAGUGAAUAUAUAUCAUGGUAAGUAGGAACUAGGAAUAAAAGCUCGGUCUUAAGCUUUUAGUGGGAUAUAGUUAUGGCUAAAACUUAAAUGCGUAAGGAGGAUAUCGACUUGUUACCAACAGUGAAUAAAGUUAUUCGGUACUUUUGUGCUGGUAUAUAUGCCCCAAGCUAAUUCCGGACACCACCAUAAUUGAAAAUAAAAGGGGGUUUUCAACUUGUCAUUUCAAAGGCGUAAAAUCACACAUUGAAAUUUCAGGAAUUUGUGUCUUCACAUGGAGUUGGAAUAAUAAUAUGCCAAUAUUUAUUGAAAAGAAAAUACAAUUAUCAGAAUCGGAUUCACUAAUAAUUGUCCUAGUGACCGUGAAGUCUAAAAUCCAAUAGUAUUUACCAAAAACAUUUAGAAAUCUAAGAUAAUUCAAAAUAUAAAGAAGUAAACAUAUAAUGAAAUCAAUGAGUCUCACCAUCUAUCAUUUAUAAGAUAUGCUUAAAAAGUAUUAUUAUCUUAUAUAUAAAUUAAUUUUUGGACAAAGGUGUUCAAAAACCCCCUUCCGAUGUCCGCCCAUAGUUUGGUACUUGUCUUAAUGGAUUCAAUUGAAUUUAAUAUUAGACACAAUACAAGAUAUAUGUUUUUUUUUUUUUAACUGAUACAAGAUAUAUGUGAAUAAUACAAAUUUUAACAAACAUUGAAAUUUGUUACACAAGAAUUUCUCCAAAAUAGCAAGAAAAAAAAAGUUGGAAAAAUAAUUGCCUGGAAAGACAAGGGACUAAUGGGUGCCGGUCCAUCGAGGAUAAAUAGCAAGACAUAAUGUAAAAAAGAGUCUGUGCUUUUUGAAUUUUGAAGCCAAAAUCCUAAAUGUAGUAUGUAAAAAACCAUAAGUCAAAAGCAAAAUUGUGCACUCAAAAUAACAUGUAUUGUCUCCUAUGAUGCUGUCUAUUUGUCAAAAGAAACUACAAUAUUAGAUAGGGGUGGGCAUGGUAUGAUACGGUACAAUAUUUUAAACUUUAGUACGGUAAUUUCGAUUUUCUGUAUUUAAAAGAAAAAUAUCAUUAUCAUAUCAAAUUAAUUCGGUAUGGUUCGGUAUUUUUAAAUUCAAUUUCGGUAUUUUGCGGUAUAGUAAUUCGGUAACCAUACUUUAUUUGAUUUCUCCUUACAUAUAUUCAUACAAAAAAAACUAUAACUUUAAAUUUUAAAAAGGUCUCAAUCAUAUUAGACUAACAACUAUCUUUGUUAAUCAAUUACACAAAAAGAACAUUUCAAUCACUAUUGAAUAGUGCGGGAUGCAAACUCUGAACAACAUUACCUAAGUUUAAGCAUAAUACUCCUAAAUAAUAAGCUUCCCAAAAAAUUUAUUUCUUAAUAAAAAGUUACUUUUGUGUUCAAUUGACUGAUGGAUGAUAUAUAAAUAUAUUUAAUAAUCUUAUCUAUCAAAUACCAUAACAUCCAUACCGCGAUAUAAAAAAUUUCAGUUUCGACCUGCGGUAUAUACCAUAUCAUGCCCACCCUUAAUAUUAGAAGUCCUAAUUUAAAUGAUUGUGUUUCGCUAUGCAUAGAGUUUAAAAGUAAAAGGAACACUUUUAAACCUUAGUGUUUAAAACAAGUCAUAUGAUAUUUGUGUGAUUACAAAUCGUCUACUAACAGUAAUUGGUUUUCAAGAUUUAACAAAAACAAAUACACAAUGGAAGCUAACGAAUAAACUGGUAUAGGUGAUAUCGAUUAGUUGGAUUACACCUUAAUUAGUUGUAAUUACAAUAUUUUACUUCUUGCUAUUUGUAUUGUCUUUUUAAUCUAUAAAUGUCGAUAUAAGGUUAAGUAUGUGAUUUUAAAAAAAUCAACAUUAUGAGUGAACCCUUAAUUUGCCUUAAAAAAGACAAAUCUGUUUUGUGUUGGAACAAAAUUAGCUUAAAUAGAGGAUACAUGUUGGUUCUCUAAGGUCAUAAUCAUGGAAAGAAGAAAGCAAACAAAUAAGAUAAAUUUUUCCAAUUUAAGUAUUCUAGAAUGUAAGUUCAUAUCAGUUGAAAAGUAAACAUAAUUUUAUUUUCAUGUUUUUUCUAAUUUAAACUCUUUUGUUUUCCAUAAGGUUGACACUGAAAGCUUGCACAUGGGAGGUAUGAAAUCUCAUUGUAGAAGCUCUGUGUGAUGUACUAAAUUACUCUCACCAUCCCAAAAUAUUUGCCAUGCUUUGUUUCUCGAGAUUAAAUUUGAUUAAUCUUCGAAAUUAAAGUGACUGAAUUAAUUUAGCAAUUUAAAAAUAAAAUUUAAAUAUUCAAAAAGUGUAUAAAAGUGCUAUAAAUUCACAUAUUUUGAUUCUCGAGAAGCGAAAUGUGAUAAAAUACUUACGUGACUGGGGCAGUAACAUCUUCUUACCUUGGUUUUCCCAAAUCUAGUUGCAAUUACUUAGUGAUAAAACUUUAUAAUAAUAACUCUAUAUAUGUAAAAUGUAUUGCGAAUUUGCUGUCAUUUACAAGGUUAGUUAAUAAAUCUGUAAUGUAAACUCUAGAAAUGUACUUAUAUAUUUCCUGUUGAUUUUGACAUGUAGAAACAAUGCAUGUACCUUCUUAGACAGCAUGCAGAAUCAAAAUCACCUAUUUAUGGCUUCUAAAAAAUUGUUUCUCAAAGAAGAGUCUUUUAUCAGUGAUUGAUGAAAACAACAACAAAAGAAAAGAAAAAUGUCUCAGUUUGCUUAUCAUGCAUUUCUGAGUCUAGCAACAAGGAUGGACAAGUCCUUUGGAAAUCAUCUUCAUUCAGCUUUAUCAAAUGUUGGUAUUAGCGCAUUCAGUGUUGAAUCCUUAAGACUCUUUCAGUUGGUAUGACUUUGCACAAGACCACCCUUUAAAAGAGUUCGAAGGAGCUCUCAACAGAUGCAAUACAGCAUUGUGGUGGGCUUCCGUUAGCCCUCUAUGAUUUGCGUUCUUUUCUUUCACGGAGAGAUAUGGAAAUUAUAUGGAGAAGUAAACUGCAGAAAUCGGAAGCAAUCCCUCAUAGCAAAGUUCAAAAGAAUCUUGAGAUAAGCUACAAGUCUCUAGAUGAUCAUGACCAGAGGUUGUUCCUCCUUAUUGCUUCAUUUUUUGUUGGGAAGGACAGAGAUUAUGUUAUCACAUCUUAGAGGACCGCGAUUUGCACCCAACGGUUGGAAAUCAGAACCUCAUUGACAGAUCCCUCAUCAGCAUUGAUGACGAAAACAAAGUGAUGAUGCCUCCACUUAUUCAGGACAUGGGGAAAGAAAUUGUUCGUCGAGAAUCACCGGAUGAUCCCGAGAGAUUGUGUAACUUGUUGAACCAAUGGGG